GCAGGGGGCGGAGCUCAACAGUCAGAUUAAUAAUCCCAGCAGGCACAGUGACACUGAGGCCGCCUCAGCAGGAUGUGUAGGAGCAUCUGACCCUCCUGACCCUGGACAAGAGUCAUCUGGACCUGAUCCAGAUGCUCCAGUCCGGUUCAGUAUGACAUCAUUGUUUAUGCGUUCACCGGAUCUGUUCUUCUUUCUACUUUCAUUCAGAUCUUUAUUUAAACUUGUGAUGAAUUAUUUCUGUGUUUGUCUGGACUGGUUUCUCUCUCCGGGCCGUGCUGGUUCUCCCUCAGAGCAUCAUCCCUACAUGAGGUUCACACGGCUGCAUUCUGUUGGUUCUGGUUCUGUUCCGACCAUCACAGCUGUGACCCUGGUUGUGGUUUCAGACAGAACUGCCUGUGUGUAAACAUGAUGUUUGUUGCCAUGGAAACACAGGAGUGACACAUAAAGUUCAUCUGUUGGUGCUGAUGUUCUGCAGGUUCUGAUCCGAACAGAACCAUGUGACAUGGUUCUCUCUCUCUCUCAGUCAACAUGGUCAGUGGAUGUCGAACGCCCGGCGCUCUCUGCAUUUAUUCAUGGACCCUCUGAAAGUUUAAUGGAGCCGCUCCAUUAAUCUGCCCCCCAACACACUGAAUGAUGUAUGAGUGCUGAAUCACUGACUGAGCCUGAUGGCUGAGCCUGAUGGCUGCAGUCUGCAGACUCGCAGCUAGAUGUCAGUAAACCUUCACAGCUUUAAAUCAGACUGAACGAGUCACAAAGGAAUCAGACAGAAGAAGAAGAAGAAGAAGAAGAAGAAGAAGAAGAAGAAGAAGAAGCAGAAGGAGCAUUAACAGACUUCAGAUGUUUCAGUGAAACAUUAAAAUAUGACCUGAUUGUAUUUUUAUCAUGAAUUAAAUAAAUGUGAAGGGUUCACUGACGUAACUAAGUACAGUUACUUCAGUAAUAACAGUAACUGUAAGUUAGUUAAAUUGAGUUGCUUCCCGCCCCGCGUGUCUCUGACGUCACAUGACUCCGCCCCGCUUCCUGUUGGGAAAGUUUUAAAAGAACUUGACGAUAAAAUAAAUCUGUAUUGCUCCAGAAGAACUGGGCCGGCCGGUACCGAUCCUUCAUACUUUCAUGUGUUCUGCAGCUCAGGAACAAGAUGAAGUGAUCGAACCGGAACACAGACAUGAAGCAGAGAUCCAUAAAAUAACAGAAAGUAAAAGUAAUAAAGAACGGACGACUGGACCAGAACUCCACAGAACAAUACAGAUAUUAAAGAUCACUACUGUCAGAACCGGGCCCCCGAGUUGGCUCCAGCACCACUGCUGGGCCCCAUGAACGUGGAGUCAGCUGUCCACAUACUUUUGGCCAUGUGGGGUUGGACUGAUCCGGAUUAGAGAGAGAGGGGGGACCCCGCGGAGCCGAAGCCCCGCCCCGGCUGGGCCGCACCGGGAGCAGCAGUGAGGACUGAGCCGGUGACCGAGACGAGCGCUCCUCCUGCAGCUGCGACUCAACUUUGACUCCCACCUUCUUUGUUCUUUGUUCUGGUCCGGUCCGGUCCGCACGGCUCGGUUCAGUUCGGCUCGGUUGAGCUCGGUCUGCAGCGGCGGAGAGAGGCAGGCGAACCUCGGAAAGUUUGAGUCCGGGAGCAGAGAUCCGCAGACCCGAUCCUGCUGCGGGACGGGAACCUCCAGAGCGGCUCCUCUCAGACCGGGAGCUGCGGGGGAGAGCGCGGGGAGCUGCGGGGGAGAGCGCGGGGAGCUGCGGGGGAGAGCGCGGGGAGCUGCGGGGAGCUGCGGGGCUCGGAGCUCCGGCUCGGUCACAGUUACUUAAAGAAGACCUCGGUCCUGAAGCAGUCUGAGAGACAAGCCGGACUCUCCUGGACUCAGUUUGUCUCAGCAGCAGGACGCACAUGGACUGACUGGUGCGGGAGACUGGGUCCUGCUGCGGCUCUGGUCCGGUUCUGACUGACUAAAGAUGAAAGUUCUGGGCAGUUUGAGCUCCUGGAGACGGACCCGGACAGUUUUACUGGUUCUUCAGAACACACGGUGAAGACUCCCUCCUGGUUCUGAUCGAUGGAUUAUAGUCGCUCUGCCUGCCGGGAAAUAAUCAGUUGACCGUGUGAGAACGCGCUGCAGCCGCUGAUCGAUCAGUAUUAAGUAUCGAUCUGAGUGGACUUAAACUGAUUUUAACACCUGCAUGCUGCUCACAGAGGGACGCUGGUCUCCUCACAAUCUUUGAUGUGUUCUGGUCCCGGUUCUGGUCUCUGCGGGUCUGCACGCGCUCACUGCUGAAGAGGACACGCGGAUGUUCUGCGGGACGCAGCGCGCCGCGCCGCCGCACAUGGAGCGCUCCGGGCGGCCGCCGCUGCUGCUGCUGCUCGGCCUGCUGCUCCGGCUCUGCGCCGCCGUCACCGACGACCGACUCAUCUCAGACCGGUACGCGGUCUACUGGAACAGCUCCAACCCCAGGUUCUUUCGGGGCGAAUACACGGUGGAGGUGGCGAUCAACGACUACCUGGAUAUCUACUGUCCGCACUACGAGGUGGCGGAGUCGGCCGAGCGGAUGGAGCACUACGUGUUGUACAUGGUGAACUAUGAUGGCUACACCACCUGUGACCACCACAGGAAGGGCUUCAAAAGGUGGGAGUGUAACCGCCCGCUGAGCCCAAACGGACCGCUCAAGUUCUCCGAGAAGUUCCAGCUGUUCACCCCCUUCAGCCUGGGCUUCGAGUUCAGGCCGGGACACGAGUACUACUACAUCUCGUCUCCACAUCCUAACCUGGCUGGUAAACCCUGUCUGAAGCUCAAGAUCUACGUCAAACCCACCAAUGACUCGGUGUACGAGUCUCCGGAGCCGUUCCUGACUGACGACACCACCGGCAGCUGCAGCCGCGCUCUGCCCCGCCUCUCCCUGCUGUCCGCCAUGUUGCUCGGCUUCCUCCUCAUCCUCCUCCUCGCCUCCUCAUAGCACCUCCUCCUCCUGCUCCUCUUCCUCCAUUCGCUCUGAGGAGAAACCUGAGGCAGGAAACAGAUCCAGCUCUCUCUCUGACCCCUGGCCUUCACCUGAACACUCAGCAGCUCAGCCAAUCAGAGGCUGUGGUCAUAUGUGGGAGGAGCCUGGGGCUGCUGCUUGGAGUUAGUUUCUGUGGUGGAUCAUCUGAGAUGUUGGUGCUGACGGACUGCAGGCGCCGUGUCCAAACUCCACUGACUCUCAUGCUGUAACAGACAGGUGGAAGCAGAGCUGAGGAAACACUAGUCAGAGCCGCUCCAGCUGGAUCCGUCCUCAGCAGAGCCUGAACCUUACAAGUGCUCACACAUACUAAUACAUAUCUUCUGAUAAUAACAGAUUAUUAUAAAAAUUAUACAUAUUUAUAUGUGUAUGUAUUUUCAUCAUUUUGAUGUCUGAAUAAAUAUCAUAAAUAUCUGAUCAAUCAAUCAAUCAGGUGACAUCAGGUGUGAUCGAAGCAUUUAGACAAACAUCUGCAGUGACUGGAUCAGAAACACAGAGGCCGUCCUGAGAGGAGACACGAGCGUCAGUGGAGUCGGCUUCAGUAUGUGGAGAGACGAAGCUGGACGUCAUCGACAUCAUCAUCAUCAUCAUCAUCAUCAUCAUCAUCAUCACGGCUCUUCAUCCUCAGCAGACAGAGCGACAUCAUCAGUCACACUCACAGCAGCUUCAUCCUGCAAGAUUCAGAAACUACGAGUUUACCUCAUCAACAUAAAUACAGUUUCCAUUUUCAUACUCACUUCUGUGAUUGUAAUCAUCAUCGGUAUGAUUAUAUAAAAUCAAUAAUCAGAGAGACACAGGCAGAGACUCUCUCUCUCUCAUUCGCUGCAUGUGUCUCUCGCCCAGCUGCAGCUGUCAGCAUACGCUGAGUCGACGCCUUUCAUUUGUGUAAAUCUGCCAAAGACUUUGUUCAACUUUUCUGUCGAGGGAGAAAAGUCAAACAGCAGCUACAGGGGUCGUCUUGGCCCCACCUACAUCUGCCACAGGGGGGCGGGGUUAUGUCAUUUUGUCGUAAAAAUGUAAACGAAUGUUAACGUGCAAACAAAAAUGAAGCAAUCAAAAAUGGCCUUUUUCCCACUGGUGCUGAAUUUGUAGUGACUUCUUUUUGGGGAAACAGCGACGCUGUGUGGUCAAGAGGACUUUCUUUUCUUCUUCAUCUCUUCAUACCAUCCCUCCAUCUCUCCUGAUGGAGGGGAGUGUGUCCUUGUGUGUGGACGAGCAGGGGCAUGCUGGGAAAUGCAGUAUAACUAACGAACGCACUGUGAUGGAGGCGGACAGAAGAUGUAGCACUUGGACUUUGUUGAGGGAAACAAACUGACGUUUCCUGACAAAAGAAAGAAAUUGAAGUUUUGAUUUUAUGUUUGCGCCAUUUUUCUGUUUUAAAAAAUGUUCAUAUGCGAUAUGAAUUCAUCCACAGAGAUAUGAAGGAAUCAGUCGGAUGUUUGUUGUUGUUACUGUUGUUGUUGUUGUUUUUCUCCUUUAUGUUCCUGCUUGCAUCACAAUGCAUUCUGGUCCUUGUAGUCCUGUAUUUUCUGGCUCUGUUGACAAAAAUGGUUCUGUGGGUUCAUCAUCCUUUUCUUCAUUGGUUUCUGUGUGGAUGGAGUCUGUUUCUUGUGGUGUAAGAAAUGUUGAAGAAGCUGGAGGAGGGAAGAAGUUGUGGUUGUGGUUUUUCUGUCUGGAGUGAGACCUCCCUCUGGUUUACAACGUCUCUGAAGUUCAAUCAUACAGAGAGAAAAUGUUUUUCUACAUCCAAAUGUCUGCGUGUCUAUUCUCUGAAAGACAAAAAAAUCUGUUUUUGUAUAUUUUCUUAUUGGAUGCUUAUAAAGUCCUGUUAAAGAAUGCAUUUAUCUGAUUGGCUCAAGAGUUAACGAGGGGUCAGAGGUCAUCAGGCCUCUUCAGGACUUCAGGAUUUUUUCCUGCGCUGCAUGAACAGGAAAAAACAAUUUAACUACAUUUACUGAAUUUACUUUUAAGACCAUCUCAGAGAGAACAUGUGUACGAAUCUGUGUUUGAUAAAUUCACCAAUAAAAAAUGUUCCAC